AAAUUUCAUAAAUAGAAUCAUUUGAAGAAUGACAAUUAUUUCUUAUAUAAAACAUAUAAAAACUGUACAAAAAAAACAGAAAUAAAAACCCAAAUCUUUAUAAAACUCUUCUAAAACUUUAUUGAAUCGUAAAAGAUAUUAUAUAACUUUUUGGAGAGGGAAAAAAAUGGAAAAAUAAAAAGUGAUUAAAUUAAUUCUUCUUUAGACUGGUACGCUGGUAAUACGCAACAAAAGACAAAAAAUUCAAAUACUAAAAUUUGCUAUGAAAGGUAGACAGAGCUAUGUCGAAAGCCGAACGGGUUGCGUUGAAACCUUCUAGAGUAUCGGAUUUAUACGCCUCCCUCUCACCUCCGAGAUCUCCACGUCAUCCGAAAUUUGUUGAUGUUCAAAAUUGGAAGGAAAGUAGGCGAAAUGUCGACGAAAAACCGGGAGAAAGAAAAGUUGAAACGUACGAGAGACAUUUUGUGGAUAGAACUAGGCCUGUUUCAGUGAAUUUUUCACCGAAUAGUAGUAUGUCAACAACUGCAAGUUAUAAAGUACCAGUUCAUUUAGACGCUCUAUCGGAAUGUUCAAAUUCUAAAUCGUUUACUAUCCGCUCGGAUGGCUUAGGAGAAGAGGAAUUAGACGCUAUUCGUAACGUUGACGAUACUUUCAACAGGACCUUAAUAACAACUGAUGAGAAUACUGGUGAGCGAAUAAUGAAAGUAACCUUUGAUGUUAGUGGAUUUUCAUCGAAAGACAUCAAGGUUAAAGCAAAUGCUCAAAACGUUCAGGUCAUUGCAAAAAAAGAAGAUUCGGGCUAUAACGAAAGGUCGACAAAAGAAUAUACCAGAAACGUACAACUUCCUCCCGAAGCUGAUCAUAGUAGGAUAAAAUGUUCUAAAAGUGGACGGAGUUUGACAGUUGAGAUCCCGAUUAUUGACAAAUCUAAUAUUAAACCACCAGAACUUAAUUCACCGACAAUAGUGAAAGAUAAAGAGGGUAGUAAAUGGGAAUUAUUAGCAGAUGUCGGUCAUUUUUUCGAUGCGGAUGAAAUAGUCGUCAAGUACAAAAGUGGUAACAUUCUACAAAUACAAGCGGAACACAUUGAAAAUGGCUCGACGGAUAAAAUGAAAGCCAGUUUGCUUAGAGAAUUUCAUAUUAAUCGACGUAUUAUACCAAGAUCGAUUAAAGCAGGUUUAACAGGAAGUGGACAGUUAAAAGUGAGUGCUAAAGUGAGAGAUGAUAGUUUCUAA
rnacentral:misc_RNA from 1 species